GACGGAGGAUGCAAGCGUUAUCCGGAAUUAUUGGGCGUAAAGCGUCCGUAGGCGGUGAAUCAAGUCUGCUGUCAAAGACUGCAGCUCAACUGUGGAACGGCAGUGGAAACUGAUUAACUUGAGUGUGGUAGGGGUAGAGGGAAUUCCCAGUGUAGCGGUGAAAUGCGUAGAUAUUGGGAAGAACACCAGUGGCGAAGGCGCUCUACUGGGCCAUAACUGACGCUGAGGGACGAAAGCUAGGGGAGCGAAAGGG
rnacentral:rRNA from 1 species